UCCUCCUAACUCUCCUCAAGCCAAACCCCCACCACCACCCCCACCGGACCCUUUCCCAUUAACCUCUUCGUCUUUGCUUUUCUCCCAGUCGUCCUCAGUCUUUUCCCAGACAGACUCCACAGGUCAGCGGUUGAAGGCUCUCAGGUCAUCUGACAUCGGCACCAUCAGUCAUGUGCAGAGGGGCCAUUCUCUGGAGUAGGACCCGCCCCCCCCCAGUGACCAUACAAGUUCUUUAGAGAAGCAAACGGGAAGAUCCGCCACUGAGACCUUCACUCCAAGACCAUGACAUGACGUCUCCAAACAAGAAUGCUGCCUGAUCAUUUACUCACAGAUGGAUGGGAGCUUUCCCAAGAGGGGUUGCCAUGAAGAUGAGCUGACCUCCACUCACUGUUGGACACUCCACACUCUGAGUUAGGUGAGAUGUGCAUGUAAGCAGAUACUAGGUGAGUAUCAUACACACAGACACAUACAUUUGCACUUGUGACGCUAUCAUUUUUAAGAUGUCAAAUUCUCCUACGAGCAAUUGAGUAACAUUAUCUGAAAACUUGUCUAUGUGUGUGUAACAUGAGAGAGAACAGCAGAGGAAGUUUGAAUUAUGAUGGUCCACUGAGGGUUUCAGUCAUUUCCUGUUUACCCCUCCCACGUAAAAGUGUCUUUGCAAUUUGAAUUUGCUCUCUCUCUCGCUCUCUCUUUAUCUCUCCAUCUCUCCCCUCCCUCUCUCUCUCUCUCUCUCUCUCUCUCUCCCGUUCUCUCGCUCUCUCGCCCUCUCUCAGGCGGUCCCUCCCUGCGGCCCAUGGUGCAGUGCUGCAUCUCUGGUCAGUUGGUAGUCUGAGAUGAAGCACUGUAGCUCGGGACGGAGGACUGCGUCACGGGCCUCAGCGCGGCCAGGUCUCCAAUGACCACAUCAACAAGGAUCAGGCGAUUCAACUAAGGGCAAUUUGGAGGAUUUUCCGUAUAACUGGGCUUUUAAUAUUGAAGGGGGGAAAAAAUAUUACUGAAAUAUUCUAAACUGAUUACCUGAUUACUACUUAAAUACUUAGUACUUAAAUUAGUAAAGUAUACGGGUGCAUCUCAUUUAAUUGAAAUGUGGAACGUUAACUUCUUUCAAAAGGGGGUGCUCAUUUAUUAUAUCAAUUCAGUCACCAAAUAAAACACUACACUAAUGAUUUACUUUUUAAAUAAUUCUAAGAUUAUAAAAUCAUCAGUUGCUUAUAGCUAAUGAAAACAUCAAAUUCACAACAAAUUAAAAUGCCACAAGAACCGAUCAAAAUUAUUAUUAUUAUUAAACUUAGGCAGCAUUGCCUCCUGAACAGCAUUUUUCAAUGUGUUUCAUAUUAAGCUCAAGGGCUGUUGUUCCUUUCAGGUGGCUCAAGGAAGCUUAUGUAAUAUAGUUCACUUUUAGAAUUAGCAACUGAAAUAUAUUUACUUUUCUAUGGUAUUAACUUUUCUAUGGUAUUCAUGUUUAUUGAGAUAUGCGUUUUAUUUAAGACAUUAGAUUCAUUGCAUAAUUUGUCCCAUGGCACCUGCCCCAUGAAUACCUUAAACUUCACGGGAAGAUACCGGUCUGGAAUUUUCUUCUUGAUGUUGUUUUUCCCAAUUUUUCUCUCUCCUGGGGUCCAGUUUUCCCAGGAAUCCCUUGACCCAUCCAAAAAGGGGAUUCCUGGAAAUACUGUUCUUAGGAGCGAGGCCAAGCGACUAUUUGUUAAUCAGGGGCUAAUAAAAUUUGAGUGUGCGUCAAAAUCAAAUUAAGGUGAGUUUUAAUGUUGAAUAAACGAAAUGGAAAUAUUGUUGUGCGUCAUGUUUCAUGGCAAAAUUACCACACUGUAUAAUAAAAUUCCACGAUGAUGAUCCCCA